rnacentral:rRNA from 1 species
AUGCACGACUCGUUCGGCACCGCAGCCGCUCCAUCCCUUCGCCCACGCCGCUUCAUCCCUUCGCCGCCGCCCUCCACUUCAGGAGACGCAGCCGAUCCCGUUGAGGAUCCGCCGCCCUCGCACGUCAGAGCCGCCGCCCUCGCACGUCAGAGCCGGCGACGGUCCCCUUCAGGAGGACGCCGAUCCCCCAGAUCCGGCGCUGCUCCCGUUGAGGGCCUGUCGCCGAUCGCAUCCAGGUUCCCCCGACGAGAUCAUUGCGGAUAUAGGAGACAUAGAUAUGGAUUUUGGAGACGUUCAAAAAGAUUCCAUCAACAAGGGUUCUGA